GAUGAACGCUGGCUACAGGCUUAACACAUGCAAGUCGAGGGGAAACGACGGGGAAGCUUGCUUCCCCGGGCGUCGACCGGCGCACGGGUGAGUAACGCGUAUCCAACCUGCCUCUGACUGAGGGAUAACCCGUCGAAAGUCGGCCUAAUACCUCAUGGUAUCGUCUGCGGGCAUCCAACGACGAUUAAAGAUUUCAUCGGUCAGGGAUGGGGAUGCGUCUGAUUAGCUUGUUGGCGGGGUAACGGCCCACCAAGGCUACGAUCAGUAGGGGUUCUGAGAGGAAGGUCCCCCACAUUGGAACUGAGACACGGGCCAAACUCCUACGGGAGGCAGCAGUGAGGAAUAUUGGUCAAUGGGCGAGAGCCUGAACCAGCCAAGUGGCGUGCAGGAAGACGGCCCUAUGGGUUGUAAACUGCUUUUAGGCGGGGAUAAAGUGAGGGACGUGUCCCUCAUUGCAGGUACCGCAUGAAUAAGGACCGGCUAAUUCCGUG
rnacentral:rRNA from 1 species